rnacentral:rRNA from 1 species
CAAUUGGCCUUUAAUUGGGGUCGGGCAUGAAAGGAUAAAUCAAAGUAUUACUGUCUCAAUAAAAUAUAUACUAAUGAAAUUACUUAUUGGGUGAAAAUUCCCAAACAAUAGAUAAUAGACGAGAAGACCCUUAGACUUUCUCCUAAUUAUAUUAGAUUUAUAUGAAGGCUUUGUUGGGGCGACAAAAUGUCAACAUAUAAUUAACACAUUCAUUAAUUUUUCGUAAUUUAACAAGUUUUAUUUCUAAUAAUAGAAGUACCUAAGGGAUAACAGCAUUAUUAAAUUAUUACAUUG